GGACAAGGAGGAAGAAGAAGAGGAAGGCAGAUUUGGAAUGUCCACACUUGGCUUUGAGGACGUCAUUGGUGGGAAUGCUGUGCAGUAAGGAAAUCUGAUGUCUAGGAAAGAAGGCAGACAGAAGUCUAACAUUUUGGAAAAUCGUGCUGAUCUCUUACAGGUGGAUACAGAUGAGUGACCUCAGCUCAGCCAAUCAGACACGUCUGCUGGGACUCUGAAUUUGGAGCAAGUGACACAAAGAAGGAGGUAGUGAGAAUUCAUUCCAGUGGUAGCGGCAUCACGCGUUUGACGGCAUCGGAGCCAAGAGUAGCACGCAGCCACGGCGGCGCCUCAGCAGUAUCCAGUGUCCGGUGAUGGCAGCGCUGGUGGCCAUGCCCAGCGUCAGCGGCGGAGCUGCGUCACCCUGACCGGGCUGUUCCUCGGUCGAGAGCUUGGCCACGGUGCUUGCCACCUGACUGCCUUGGUUCCUGCCUGCCUCUCCGGUAUUCCUGUGUAUUUUGUAAGCUGCCCAGUAGCCUUCCAAAACAUUUCCUUCCUCCCAAGUUAACCCUUUCUCUCGAGUUACAUGAUACACACACACACACACACACACACACA